rnacentral:rRNA from 1 species
ACGGAAGGCAGCAGUGGGGAAUAUUGGGCAAUGGGCGCAAGCCUGACCCAGCAAUGCCGCGUGAAGGAAGAAGGCUUUCGGGUUGUAAACUUCUUUUAAGUGGGACGACAAUGACGGUACCACUUGAAUAAGCUCCGGCUAAUUACGUGCCAGCAGCCGCGGUAACACGUAAGGUGCGAGCGUUGUUCGGAAUCAUUGGGCGUAAAGGGCAUGUAGGCGGUCUGUCAAGCCAGGCGUGAAAGCCAGGGGCUCAACCCCUGAACUGCGCUUGGAACUGGCGGACUGGAGUCGCUGAGGGGGAACCGGAAUUCCUGGUGUAGGGGUGAAAUCUGUAGAUAUCAGGAAGAACACCGAUGGCGAAGGCAGGUUUCCAGCAGACGACUGACGCUGAGGUGCGAAGGUGCGGGGAGCAAACAGGAUUAGAUACCCUGGUA